rnacentral:rRNA from 1 species
AUUGAACGCUGGCGGCAUGGCUAAAACAUGCAAGUCGAACGUGCCCGCAAGGGCAAGUGGCGAAAGGGUCAGUAACGCGAUCGAACGUACCCCGAGGUGGGGGAUAGGGCGGGGAAACUCGCCAUAAUACCCCAUGAUGUCUCUGGACCAAAGGUUUACCGCCUUGGGAGCGGCGAUCGUCCUAUCAGGUAGUUGGCGGGGUAAAGGCCCACCAAGCCGAAGACGGGUAGCAGGUGUGAGAGCACGACCUGCGACAUCGGAACUGAGACA